AGGAUAAACGCUGGCGGCGUGCCUAACACAUGCAAGUCGAACGUCUCUUUCUUCGGGAAGAGGAGUGGCGGACGGGUGAGGAACACGUGGGAACCUGCCCUACAGUGAGGAAUACCGGCGAGAAAUCGCCGACAAGACCGCAUAGCCCUCUCUGGUGAGAGCCAGAGAAGGAAAGCUUCGCAAGAGGCGCUGGAGGAGGGGCCUGCGUCCGAUUAGCUAGUUGGUGGGGUAAGAGCCUACCAAGGCGUCGAUCGGUAGCUGGUCUGAGAGGACGAUCAGCCACACUGGGAUUGAGAACGGCCCAGACUCCUACGGGGGGCAGCAGUGAGGAAUUUUCGGCAAUGGGGGAAACCCUGACCGAGCAACGCCGCGUGCAGGAAGACGGCCUUCGGGUUGUAAACGUGCUUUUCUUUGGGACGUAGCAAGGACGGUACCAGAGGAAUCAGCCCGGCUCACUACGUGCCAGCAGCCGC
rnacentral:rRNA from 1 species